rnacentral:rRNA from 1 species
AUUGAACGCUGGCGGCAUGCUUUACACAUGCAAGUCGAACGGAUCUAGGGGCUUGCUCCUAGGUUAGUGGCGAACGGGUGAGUAAUGCAUCGGAACGUACCGUGUAGUGGGGGAUAACCUGGCGAAAGUCAGAUUAAUACCGCAUACGAUCUACGGAUGAAAGCGGGGGACCUUCGGGCCUCGCGCUAUACGAGCGGCCGAUGUCGGAUUAGCUAGUUGGUGAGGUAAAGGCUCACCAAGGCGACGAUCCGUAGCGGGUCUGAGAGGAUGAUCCGCGACACUGGGACUGAGACACGGCCCAGACUCCUACGGGAGGCAGCAGUGGGGAAUUUUGGACAAUGGACGCAAGUCUGAUCCAGCCAUGCCUCGUGAGUGAAGAAGGCCUUCGGGUUGUAGAGCUCUUUUGUCAGGGAGCAAAUCCUGCCUGCUAAUACUAGGUGGGGAUGAGAGUACCUGAAGAAUAAGCACCGGCUAACUACGUGCCAGCAGCCGCGGUAACAC